rnacentral:lncRNA from 1 species
GUUCGGGGCGCGCCCGCCGCUAUUCAGCUUCCCGGGCUCGGCAGCAUCUUGGUGCGCGGCUCACAAAGAGCUGCUGCGGCGGCUCCGUGCUUGGCCUCGCGGAUUGAGCGGCGGCGGCAGCGGCAGCGGUGCACCCGUGCGGCCCCGCGCACAAGCCAGAAAGAUUUCAUCACCAGGAGCAUUUUCCGGACCUUACCAAACCACUCACUUUUGGACUUCCAGAACUAUGUUGAAGAGUAGUGGUGAGAGCAGACAUCCUUGUCUUCUUGUUCCUGAUCCCAGCGGGAAUUCUUUCAGCUUUUCACCAUUGAGAAUGAUGUUCGCUGUGGGUUUGUCGUAUAUGGCCUUUAUGAUGUGGCUGCCUCCUGGUGAUGAUGGCUGCGUGAUCACCCACCAUGGCCCACCGGAAGCGUCAGAGCACAGCGAGCAGCAUGCUAGACCACAGGGUGAGGCCGAGCCCCGAGCCGGAGGCUGAGGGUGUGGAGCUGCCCCCAGAGGAGUACACGCCCCAGGGCUUGGAGCUGGCAACCCUGCGGCCCGAGAGCCCGGUGCCCACAGAGCCGGGCUGCCCCGACCACAGCCCCGAUGGGGACUCCAGCUCCGACUAUGUGAACAACACCUCGGAGGAGGAGGACUACGAUGAGGGCCUCCCCGAGGAGGAGGAGGGCAUCACCUACUACAUCCGCUACUGCCCCGAGGACGACAGCUACCUGGAGGGCAUGGACUGCAACGGUGAGGGCUGCCUGGCGCACAGUGCGUCUGGCCUGGAGACUGAUGAGUGCCAGGAGGCGGUGGAGGAGUGGACGGACCCGGCGGGCCCACACCCGCCCGACUGUGAGGACGAGGGCAGCCCGGACUACCGGGGCAGCCACCUCCCCAUCCCAGAGGACGAGCCCUCUGGCCUGGAGGCCCAGGACCAGGAAGAGGGUGUCCACUACUGCCCCAGCGAGGAGGGCUACCCGGACUACUACCCCACUGAGGCCAAUGGGAACGCAGGCAGCGCAUCCCCCUACCGCCCUAGGCGUGGGGACGGGGACCUGGAGGACCAGGAGGAGGACAUCGACCAGAUCGUGGCUGAGAUCAAAAUGAGCUUGAGUAUGACAAGCAUCACCAGCGCCGGUGAGGCCAGCCCAGAGCACACGCUGGUGCGGGCACCGGAGCCAGGGCCUGGGGACUCGGCGGAGGCCUGCCCUCCCGGCGAGGCCAGCCUCGGCCCCAGCAGACACGAGGGGCGGCCCAAGUCUCUGAACCUCCCUCCUGAGGCCAAGCACCCUGGAGAUCCCCAGAGAAGCUUCAAGACCAAGACCAGGACUCCAGAGGAGAGACCAAAGUGGCCCCAAGAGCAGGUUUGCAAUGGUUUGGAGCAGCCGAGGAAACAGCAGCGCUCUGAUCUCAACGGACCUGUUGACAAUAACAACAUCCCAGAGACAAAGAAGGUGGCAUCAUUUCCAAGUUUUGUGGCUGUUCCAGGGCCCUGUGAGCCAGAAGACCUCAUUGAUGGGAUCAUCUUUGCUGCCAACUACCUGGGGUCGACACAGCUGCUUUCGGAGCGGAACCCUUCCAAAAACAUCAGGAUGAUGCAGGCGCAGGAGGCUGUCAGCCGGGUCAAGAGGAUGCAAAAGGCUGCUAAAAUCAAGAAGAAAGCGAAUUCUGAGGGGGAUGCCCAGACUCUGACCGAAGUGGACCUCUUCAUCUCCACCCAGAGGAUCAAGGUGUUAAAUGCGGACACACAGGAGACCAUGAUGGACCACGCCCUGCGCACCAUCUCCUACAUCGCAGACAUCGGAAACAUCGUGGUGCUGAUGGCCAGGCGCCGCAUGCCGAGGUCGGCCUCUCAGGACUGUAUCGAGACCACCCCUGGGGCCCAGGAGGGGAGGAAGCAGUACAAGAUGAUCUGCCACGUGUUCGAGUCCGAGGACGCUCAGCUGAUCGCCCAGUCCAUCGGCCAGGCCUUCAGCGUGGCCUACCAGGAAUUCCUGCGGGCCAACGGCAUCAACCCUGAGGACCUGAGCCAGAAGGAGUACAGUGACAUCAUCAACACCCAGGAAAUGUACAACGACGACCUCAUCCACUUCUCCAACUCAGAGAACUGCAAGGAGCUGCAGCUGGAGAAGCACAAGGGAGAGAUCCUGGGCGUGGUGGUGGUGGAGUCGGGCUGGGGCUCCAUCUUGCCCACAGUGAUCCUGGCCAACAUGAUGAAUGGCGGCCCGGCUGCCCGCUCGGGGAAGCUGAGCAUCGGCGACCAGAUCAUGUCCAUUAAUGGCACCAGCCUGGUAGGGCUGCCCCUCGCCACCUGCCAGGGCAUCAUCAAGGGUCUGAAGAACCAGACACAGGUGAAGCUCAACAUCGUCAGCUGUCCUCCGGUCACCACCGUCCUCAUCAAGCGGCCAGACCUCAAGUACCAGCUGGGCUUCAGCGUGCAGAAUGGAAUCAUCUGCAGCCUCAUGCGCGGGGGCAUCGCAGAGCGGGGUGGCGUCCGAGUUGGCCACCGCAUCAUUGAGAUCAACGGGCAAAGCGUGGUGGCCACCGCCCACGAGAAGAUUGUCCAGGCAUUGUCCAACUCGGUUGGAGAGAUCCACAUGAAGACCAUGCCUGCCGCCAUGUUCAGGCUCCUCACAGGCCAGGAGACCCCGCUCUACAUCUAGGCCACCCACCGCACCCCAAGGAGCGGGAGCCAGACCCGGGACCUGACCCCUGACCCCACCGCCCACCUAAGGACACUGGCUCCCCUGAAGGGCACGCCCUCACCACCCACUUUUUUUUUUGGACUCAAAGGGGUAUGUCUUCAUCCAAGGAGGGUCACAAGAACCAAUCUUUGUAGAACAGUCAAGUAUUUUGCCGCAUUCUGACUUUUCUCAUUGCAACGGACAAGGGUUUCUUUGUACCCCUGUGUGGUGUGGAGCCGUGGAGGGUGAAUGUGGGUGCCUCUGGAUGCGGCCGUGCAGGGAGCCCCUCGAGGACGGUGAGCUCCUGGGGGGCAGCAGCGAUGGCCCCACCCUUGGCUGGGGCUCCGGGGUCCUGCAGGGAGGGCAUCCCGACAGCCCGGAUGGCUGCCUCCCAGGGUAGCCGGCUCUCAGGAUGUGACUGGUCAUUGAAGUUGGGGACCACGUGAUGUAUUUCCCGAGAAAGGAGACAUCCUUCAGUUCAAUAAAGGAUGAUGGCCACAACCUCAAAACUCCAUAUUUAUUUAGACAGUAUCACCGUUUUGACUUUUAUUUGACAGCAAGCUGUUCUUCAGACAUUAGGAUUUUCCAAUGACCCUGUGACCACACCUGCUGCCCUGUGCUCGCCUGUCCACUGGUCCCUGGAUGCCCUGGGGCACCCUCCCCUACAGGUGGCCCUCUGGUUACUAUCUGUCUACAUAUACGCAUCCACAUGCGUGCUCCCCCCUCAGAAACCAGCCCCACACCGGAACCCUGGACGCCUGCCGUUCCUGGGGUGACUGCGGCAUCCGGGCACCGUCUCUGUGAGCAGUGUUCCAGUGUGUGUAGAUCAAGUGCAACGUAGUCUAGUUCCGCUCAGCAAGCUCAGUGUUCACCGACGUCAUUUUGUCUGGAAGUCUCUUUCUCUGGCCCAGGCCUCGAAGAAUACACUGUGACUUAAGAAGCCUUACCAUGCAGUAACUAAGCUUUAGGAUCACUGGACCUGAGGGUGACCUGUGUGUUGCAUGCAGCCGACCUUAGGAAGACUCGCUAAUACCACUAAUAAACCUGAGGUCAUGACG